rnacentral:rRNA from 1 species
CAUGCAAGUCGAACGGCAACAGGAAGAAGCUUGCUUCUUUGCUGACGAGUGGCGGACGGGUGAGUAAUGUCUGGGAAACUGCCUGAUGGAGGGGGAUAACUACUGGAAACGGUAGCUAAUACCGCAUAACGUCGCAAGACCAAAGAGGGGGACCUUCGGGCCUCUUGCCAUCGGAUGUGCCCAGAUGGGAUUAGCUAGUAGGUGGGGUAACGGCUCACCUAGGCGACGAUCCCUAGCUGGUCUGAGAGGAUGACCAGCCACACUGGAACUGAGACACGGUCCAGACUCCUACGGGAGGCAGCAGUGGGGAAUAUUGCACAAUGGGCGCAAGCCUGAUGCAGCCAUGCCGCGUGUAUGAAGAAGGCCUUCGGGUUGUAAAGUACUUUCAGCGGGGAGGAAGGGAGUAAAGUUAAUACCUUUGCUCAUUGACGUUACCCGCAGAAGAAGCACCGGCUAACUCCGUGCCAGCAGCCGCGGUAAUACGGAGGGUGCAAGCGUUAAUCGGAAUUACUGGGCGUAAAGCGCACGCAGGCGGUUUGUUAAGUCAGAUGUGAAAUCCCCGGGCUCAACCUGGGAACUGCAUCUGAUACUGGCAAGCUUGAGUCUCGUAGAGGGGGGUAGAAUUCCAGGUGUAGCGGUGAAAUGCGUAGAGAUCUGGAGGAAUACCGGUGGCGAAGGCGGCCCCCUGGACGAAGACUGACGCUCAGGUGCGAAAGCGUGGGGAACAAACAGGAUUAGAUACCCUGGUAGUCCACGCCGUAAACGAUGUCGACUUGGAGGUUGUGCCCUUGAGGCGUGGCUUCCGGAGCUAACGCGUUAAGUCGACCGCCUAGGGAGUACGGCCGCAAGGUUAAAACUCAAAUGAAUUGACGGGGGCCCGCACAAGCGGUGGAGCAUGUGGUUUAAUUCGAUGCAACGCGAAGAACCUUACCUGGUCUUGACAUCCACGGAAGUUUUCAGAGAUGAGAAUGUGCCUUCGGGAACCGUGAGACAGGUGCUGCAUGGCUGUCGUCAGCUCGUGUUGUGAAAUGUUGGGUAAGUCCCGCAACGAGCGCAACCCUUAUCCUUUGUUGCCAGCGGUCCGGCCGGGAACUCAAAGGAGACUGCCAGUGAUAAACUGGAGGAAGGUGGGGAUGACGUCAAGUCAUCAUGGCCCUUACGACCAGGGCUACACACGUGCUACAAUGGCGCAUACAAAGAGAAGCGACCUCGCGAGAGCAAGCGGACCUCAUAAAGUGCGUCGUAGUCCGGAUUGGAGUCUGCAACUCGACUCCAUGAAGUCGGAAUCGCUAGUAAUCGUGGAUCAGAAUGCCACGGUGAAUACGUUCCCGGGCCUUGUACACACCGCCCGUCACACCAUGGGAGUGGGUUGCAAAAGAAGUAGGUAGCUUAACCUUCGGGAGGCGCUUACCACUUUGUGAUUCAUGACUGGGGUGAAGUCGGAACAAGGUA